UAUCUGAAAGUAUUUUGUCCCUGCUCUGACCAAGUGGCUGAGAUAAGUUUAUUUGAAUCUUAUCACAGCCUGCUUGGAUCAGUUCAGUGUCAAAUAUAAAC
rnacentral:pre_miRNA from 1 species